rnacentral:rRNA from 1 species
UAAUUCGAUGCAACGCGAAGAACCUUACCUGGUCUUGACAUCCACAGAACUUAGCAGAGAUGCUUUGGUGCCUUCGGGAACUGUGAGACAGGUGCUGCAUGGCUGUCGUCAGCUCGUGUUGUGAAAUGUUGGGUUAAGUCCCGCAACGAGCGCAACCCUUAUCCUUUGUUGCCAGCGGUUAGGCCGGGAACUCAAAGGAGACUGCCAGUGAUAAACUGGAGGAAGGUGGGGAUGACGUCAAGUCAUCAUGGCCCUUACGACCAGGGCUACACACGUGCUACAAUGGCAUAUACAAAGAGAAGCGACCUCGCGAGAGCAAGCGGACCUCAUAAAGUAUGUCGAAGUCCGGAUUGGAGUCUGCAACUCGACUCCAUGAAGUCGGAAUCGCUAGUAAUCGUAGAUCAGAAUGCUACGGUGAAUACGUUCCCGGG